rnacentral:rRNA from 1 species
UGACGAGUGGCGGACGGGUGAGUAAUGUCUGGGAAACUGCCUGAUGGAGGGGGAUAACUACUGGAAACGGUAGCUAAUACCGCAUAACGUCGCAAGACCAAAGAGGGGGACCUUCGGGCCUCUUGCCAUCGGAUGUGCCCAGAUGGGAUUAGCUAGUAGGUGGGGUAACGGCUCACCUAGGCGACGAUCCCUAGCUGGUCUGAGAGGAUGACCAGCCACACUGGAACUGAGACACGGUCCAGACUCCUACGGGAGGCAGCAGUGGGGAAUAUUGCACAAUGGGCGCAAGCCUGAUGCAGCCAUGCCGCGUGUAUGAAGAAGGCCUUCGGGUUGUAAAGUACUUUCAGCGGGGAGGAAGGCGAUAAGGUUAAUAACCUUGUCGAUUGACGUUACCCGCAGAAGAAGCACCGGCUAACUCCGUGCCAGCAGCCGCGGUAAUACGGAGGGUGCAAGCGUUAAUCGGAAUUACUGGGCGUAAAGCGCACGCAAGCGGUCUGUCAAGUCGGAUGUGAAAUCCCCGGGCUCAACCUGGGAA